AGAUUGAACGCUGGCGGCAGGCCUAACACAUGCAAGUCGAGCGGCAGCACGGGUACUUGUACCUGGUGGCGAGCGGCGGACGGGUGAGUAAUGCCUAGGAAUCUGCCUGAUAGUGGGGGAUAACGCUCGGAAACGGACGCUAAUACCGCAUACGUCCUACGGGAGAAAGCAGGGGACCUUCGGGCCUUGCGCUAUCAGAUGAGCCUAGGUCGGAUUAGCUAGGUUGGUGGGGUACUAGUCGUCUACCAACGGACGGACCG
rnacentral:rRNA from 1 species